CGGCAUUUAAAUACUUUAUUUUCCUAUGCCCUGGCGUUCGGUAGAUUCUCGGAUUUACUUAAUGAACUAAUUUAACCCAGAUAGCUAUGUCAUGGAGCCUAUUCGUGUAAUAAAAGACUUUGGCUCCAUGGCAAUUGAACUAUGUGUGUGUGGUCUGAGCGCCAUUCAGUAAUAAUGUGCGCUCAGACCUAAGCUAUCUGGGGAUAUGUUGCAUGUCUGUAUUGUAUGUAAUAAAUGUAACCUUGUGUAUUUUAUUGUAUUUUACUAUCUUUUUACUGCCAUGUGCUUAAUGGAGUUUUGCCUCUGUUCUUGGAGAUAAUUUGAUUACUUCCCAAUUAUCUCCAGGAUAGAAUACUCUGCGGAACUGGUUUUGGGCAGAAAAGCCAUGCUUCUUUUGUUCACAAAGGACUUCGAUCUAUUUUUUGAACCAAUGGACCAAUUUGGAUGAUUUUGACAUAUGUUUGUAUUUGGAGUAUGCUGAUUCUGAAAAUGUAAGUGAAUGUGAAGUAUACUUUUAAAGUUAUUGAUUAUGUGGAAAAACUGUAUUUCUCUGCCUGUGAUAAUUACAUUAACCCAUUGUGUAAGGUAAUUGUAUUACAGGCAGAGGGGAAGAUUUUGUGUGGGAGUGUCUGAGUGAAUUGUACGUGUUUAUUGGUUGUUUUCCAAAACCCUG